rnacentral:misc_RNA from 1 species
GAUGAAGAACGUAGCGAAAUGCGAUAAGUAGUGUGAAUUGCAGAAUUCAGUGAAUCAUCGAAUCUUUGAACGCACAUUGCGCCCCUUGGUAUUCCAUGGGGCAUGCCUGUUCGAGCGUCAUUUGUACCUUCAAGCUUUGCUUGGUGUUGGGUGUUUGUCCCGAGGGACUCGCCUUAAAGUAAUUGGCAGCCAGUGUUUGGUUUUGAAGCGCAGCACAAGUCGCGAUUCAAGGCUACACGCCCGCUUCCACAAGCCUUUUUCACUUUUGACCUCGGAUCAGGUAGGGAUACCCGCUGAACUUAAGCAUAUCAAUAAGCGGAGGA